rnacentral:ncRNA from 1 species
UGAACAAUCCUAACUGCUGCUCCGAGAAUGAAAGUUGAUCUAGGGAUAACGCGUUGGUCUCCCCGGAAAGCUCGUAUUGACUGGGAAGGUCGGCACCUGAAUCUCGGCUCUUCGCAUCCUGAAGCUAAAGUAGGUGGGAAGGCUUGGCCUGUUCGCCCAAUAAAGCGUCACGUGAGCCGGGAUCAGAACGCCGCGGAAUUGCUUGGCCCAUA